rnacentral:tRNA from 1 species
AAAGGGAGACCUAAUUCGGGUAUGGGAUGAAAAAAAAGUAGUCCCAACCAAGAAUCAAUCCCAAAAGGUCGGAGCGAGGCGAAAUUGGCUUUCAAACUAGGUUCUGGGUUCACAGAAGACCUGAAUCAGGAACAAGGGCUAUUAGCUCAGGUGGUUAGAGCGCACCCCUGAUAAGGGUGAGGUCCCUGGUUCGAGUCCAGGAUGGCCCACCUGCACAGGUGGUAAAAACAAGAGAAGCGAGGAAUCAGCACCUUAUCUUACUUACAUAGUAAGAGAGAAUGCUGGCUCUGAGUAAAGAGUCCAGAGGAACCUUGAAAACUGCAUAGAGCUAGGUGAAAAAGCCAAAAAAGAAGACCGCAAG